GUGACAGUGAGGGAAGGAGCACCCACUUUUCCUCCUGAAUGGUCUCAAGAGCUGGACUCUUUAUGUUGUUGACAUGAUACUUUCUUUGGAGAUUCACAAACAGGGCACAUGGUUGAAAGAAAUUAGAGAAGACCAAAAUAAAUGGAAAGACAUCCUGUGUUCACAGAUUGCAAGACUUCAUAUUUUCAAGUGGCAUUACUCUUCAAAUCGACUUACAACUUCUUUGCAGUCCUUAUCACAAUUCCAAUUGCCUUUAUGUCCAUAAUGAAAAAGCCGAUCCCAAAAUUCAUAUGGAAAUAUAAGGAACACAGAAUUGUCUAAAUGAACUAAAAAAAGAACAAAUUUGGAGAAUUCACACUUACCAAUACAAAACCAACUACAAAGCUACAUCAUCAAUCAAGAUAGUGUGUACUCAAAUAAGGCUAGCCAUUGUAGAGCAGAGGAAUAGAAUUAGAAGUCUAGAAAUAACCUCAUAUGUCUAUGGUCAGUUUAUUUUUGACAAGGGAACAAAACCAUUCAGUGGGCAUAAACCCUCUUUUCAACAAGUAGUGCUGGGAAUAUUGGAUAUCUGUGUACCAAAAAGUGAAAUUAG
rnacentral:lncRNA from 1 species